rnacentral:rRNA from 1 species
UACGAAGGGUGCAAGCGUUAAUCGGAAUUACUGGGCGUAAAGGGUGCGUAGGCGGUUGUUUAAGUCUGUCGUGAAAUCCCCGGGCUCAACCUGGGAAUGGCGAUGGAUACUGGGCAGCUAGAGUGUGUCAGAGGAUGGUGGAAUUCCCGGUGUAGCGGUGAAAUGCGUAGAGAUCGGGAGGAACAUCAGUGGCGAAGGCGGCCAUCAGGGACAACACUGACGCUGAAGCACGAAAGCGUGGGGAGCAAACAGG